AAUCUAUCUCUGUAUCCAAUAUUUGUGGGUUUUGGGGACAAUUAAAAAAUAAUUUUGUGAAGAAAGGGAAUAACAAUUUUCUUGUGUUAUAAAUAAGGUGAUGCUUGUCCUGUAAUAAUGUUCUGUUGUGUAGAUUAAGCUCAGGUGGGAGCCAGAAAAGCAGAAAUCAAGAAGAUCCCUCCAGUGGUUUAGUCAACAACAUGAUGGAAACAAGUUUGAGUAUGCUGGUGUGGAUGUUGUCCAGCUUAGGUUUCUGCGGUUACACAGCCAUGCAUCUUUCCAGCACAUGACUGUCAGCUGGGAAGUGGAACCCUCCUGUGCUGCCACUGCAACUAAUUCAACAAAUUGGAGUAUCAACAUCCUGGGAGAUUCCGGCAAAGAAAUAGAUUCUCACUUAAUUAGAGGGAGCAGUAAAGACUGUGAGGAGCACGUGGUUGUGAGGGUUCAGGGGAGCACUGAGCUGCAUCGAGGAGAUAUGGAGUUGCUUCCUCUCAGAGAUCUGGGUAUAGCGAUGACGGAACCGACUGCCCACGCCCCUGAGAUAACUGUGAUCAUGGGACCUCUCUGCUUCCUGUGACCAAUUAAUGAUGUGUGUGUUUAUUGGUUUGUGUAAUUAAACAUUGUAAAUAUAAUUUUCAUAUAGAA